rnacentral:rRNA from 1 species
GACGAACGCUGGCGGCGUGCUUAACACAUGCAAGUCGAACGAAGUGGCGAACGGGUGAGUAACGCGUAAUCAACCUGCCAUUCAGAGGGGGACAACAGUAGGAAACGACUGCUAAUACCGCAUACGGAAGGCGGGGAUUGGGUCGGAUUAGCUAGUGGGAGGGGUAAAGGCCCACCAAGGCGGUGAUCAGUCGCCGGUCUGAGGGGAUGGACGGCCACAUUGGGACCGGUGCACGGCCCAGACUCCUACGGGAGGCAGCAGUGGGGAAUCUUCCGCAAUGGACGAAAGUCGUACGGAGCAACGCCGCGUGAGUGAUGACGGCCUUCGGGUUGUAAAGCUCUGUUAAUCGGUACGCGGUACCGGAAUAGAAAGCCACGGCUAACUACGUGCCAGCCGCCGCGGUAAUUC